CUCCUACGGGAAGCAGCAGUGGGGAAUCUUGCGCAAUGGACGAAAGUCUGACGCAGCCACGCCGCGUGAGUGAAGAAGGCCUUCGGGUUGUAAAGCUCUGUCGGAGGGGACGAAAAGUUGGUGGGUUAACAGCCCAUCAAUCUGACGGUACCCUCAAAGGAAGCACCGGCUAACUUCGUGCCAGCAGCGCGGUAAUUC
rnacentral:rRNA from 1 species